ACGCUCGACACCUACGGGAGGCAGCAGUUAGGAAUAUUGGGCAAUGGAGGGAACUCUGACCCAGCAACGCCGCGUGAAGGAAGAAGGUUUUCGGGCUGUAAACUUCUGAUCUAAGGGAAAAAGAAAGUGAUGGUACCUUAGGAGAAAGCCACGGCUAACUACGUGGCAGCAGCCGCGGUAAUCUGAGCGGGCUGGCAAGGC
rnacentral:rRNA from 1 species